rnacentral:rRNA from 1 species
AUUCCAGCUCCAAUAGCGUAUAUUAAAGUUGUUGCAGUUAAAAAGCUCGUAGUUGGAUUUCUGGUUAGAUGCGCCUGGCCCGCCGACGUUCAGUCGUGUGAAGUGCUGGUGCGCAGCUGCCAUCCUUCUAGAGAAGGAACCAACGGUUCAUUCCGGUUCGGUUCACAAUCUAGAUCUUUUACUUUGAAAAAAUUAGAGUGUUUAAAGCAGGCUUUUGCUAUGAAUACAUUAGCAUGGAAUAAUAAUUUGGGACUCUGUUUCUAUUUUGUUGGUUUCCGGAAACGGAGUAAUGAUUGAUAGGGAUUGUUGGGGGUGCUAGUAUUCAGCGGCCAGAGGUGAAAUUCUCGGAUUCGCUGAAGACUAACUUAUGCGAAAGCAUUCACCAAGGAAGUCUUCAUUG